GAAUGCGAUCAAAACACUACCCCUCACAAAUCCCUCCGGUCCCAUAAACGAACGGUCUCUUUCUCUCUCUCUAGCUCUCCGAGAUCUUCGCCUAAAAUUCACAACCCCCCUCUCUCUCUCUUCAAUUAUUUCUUGUUUUUUAUUUAAUUUCUUGUUAAAUCGUGGAGCGAGAGGUGUCAAAUGGUGGGAAUAUUGCCCCAAAACUACAGAGACUUCGUUCCAAAUCACGACUCCAAGCCCUCUUCAACCUCUGAAGCAGAGUUAAAACUGAAAACCCUAGAGCGAUUACAACAAAGUUGGAACAGUGACGUGAGCGACAAAGAAUGUACUCCAGAUAUUGCUACCAAACUUGUCGAGUGAGAUUCUGAUUUGAUUGGUGAGAGUAGCACGUCGAACGGAACUCAGAAAGUGAUUGGAUUUGAAGAGAGAGCAUACUGCCUUGUCUGAUGAAUUUCUUACCGGACCCUGCAGUUCUAAACACCAUUCAGUUGCUAAGUGAGCCUUUUGUUUUAAUCACUCACAAUUAUUUUCUAACUUCCCUUCUCUCUUUGAUUGUAAUUUGUUGUUUCUGGAUAUCCAAAUCCAUAAGCUUCAUCGGAAUUGCCCUGGUAUGCUUUCUGUAAACUCACUUUAUAACUGCUGUUUGUUGUGACUGUGCUCUGAGUGAAAUUUGGAGUUAACUGCUAGACAAACAAGAUUAAGAAUGAUUUUAGAGACCUAGCAAUUCAAUGAAAGACUAGGAACCCAUA